AGAGUUUGAUCCUGGCUCAAAAUCAACGCUGGCGGCGUGCCUCAGACAUGCAAGUCGAACGCGAAAGGCCCCUUCGGGGGCCGAGUAGAGUGGCGCACGGGUGAGUAACACGUAGGUAAUCUACCUUUGGGUGGGGAAUAACAGCCGGAAACGGCUGCUAAUACCGCAUAAUGCAGCGGCUCGACAUCGAGACAGUUGUUAAAGCGGGGGAUUCCGAAAGGAACCUCGCGCCUAAAGAGGAGCCUGCGGCAGAUUAGCUAGUUGGUAGGGUAACGGCCUACCAAGGCGACGAUCUGUAACCGGCCUGAGAGGGCGGUCGGUCACACUGACACUGACAUACGGGUCAAACUCCUACGUGAGGCAGCAGUCGGGAAUUUGGGGCAAUGGGCGAAAGCCUGACCCAGCACCGCCGCGUGAAGAAUGAAAUUCCUCGGGAUGUAAACUUCGCAAGAAUGGGAAGAAUAAGUGGGGGAUAAUACCCCCCAUGAUGACGGUACCAUUUGUAAGCUCCGGCUAACUCCGUGCCAGCAGCCGCGGUAAUACGGGGGGAGCAAGCGUUGUUCGGAUUUACUGGGCGUAAAGGGCGCGUAGGCGGCCAGCGCAAGUCAGUUGUGAAAUCUCCGGGCUUAACUCGGAACGGUCAACUGAUACUGCGCGGCUAGAGGUGCAGAAGGGGCAACUGGAAUUCUCGGGUGGUAGCCGGUGAAUGCGUAGAUUAUCGAGAGGAACACCUGGCGGCGAAGCCGGG
rnacentral:rRNA from 1 species